rnacentral:rRNA from 1 species
CAUUGUAGAGUCUUGCUCAUCCGAAUGACUAGAGAA